rnacentral:rRNA from 1 species
GAUGAACGCUAGCGGCAGGCCUAAUACAUGCAAGUCGAACGGUGUCUUCGGACAUAGUGGCGCACGGGUGCGUAACACGCAUGCAACUUACCUUACAUUGGGGGAUAGCCUUUCGAAAGGGAGAUUAAUACCGCAUAAGACAGUAGCUGGGCAUCCAGCAGCUGUUAAAGAUUUAUCGAUGUAAGCUGGGCAUGCGUCCAAUUAGCUAGUUGGUGAGGUAACGGCUCACCAAGGCAAUGAUUGGUAGGGGAACUGAGAGGUCAAUCCCCCACACUGGCACUGAGAUACGGGCCAGACUCCUACGGGAGGCAGCAGUAGGGAAUAUUGGGCAAUGGACGCAAGUCUGACCCAGCCAUGCCGCGUGCAGGAUGAAGGCGUUAUGCGUUGUAAACUGCUUUUAUACAGGAAGAAACGACUCUUGCGAGAGGCAUUGACGGUACUGUAUGAAUAAGCACCGGCUAACUCCGUGCCAGCAGCCGCCGUAAUAC